GUUUAUAUGUAUCUGUGUAUUUGUGUUUUCCAACCAGGAUAUUAUACAUACACAGAUACUCAUACACUGCAUUGCACAAAACACA
rnacentral:miRNA from 1 species